rnacentral:rRNA from 1 species
GCCUUUGGGUUGUAAAGCUCUUUUGUAGGGGAAGAUAAUGACUGUACCCUAAGAAUAAGGUCCGGCUAACUUCGUGCCAGCAGCCGCGGUAAUACGAAGGGACCUAGCGUAGUUCGGAAUUACUGGGCGUAAAGCGCGCGUAGGCCGUUGAGUUAGUUAAUUGUGAAAUCCCAAAGCUUAACUUUGGAACUGCAAUUAAAACUGCUCGACUAGAGUUUGAUAGAGGAAAGCGGAAUACAUAGUGUAGAGGUGAAAUUCGUAGAUAUUAUGUAGAACACCAGUUGCGAAGGCGGCUUUCUGGAUCAACACUGACGCUGAGGCGCGAAAGUAUGGGUAGCAAAGAGGAUUAGAUACCCUCGUAGUCCAUACCAUAAACGAUGAUUGCUAGAUGUUGGAAAUUUAUUUUCAGUAUCGCAGCUAACGCAUUAAGCAAUCCGCCUGGGGAGUACGACCGCAAGGUUAAAACUCAAAUGAAUUGACGGGGACCCGCACAAGCGGUGGAGCAUGUGGUUUAAUUCGAAGAUACGCGCAGAAGCU